rnacentral:rRNA from 1 species
UACGUAGGUGACAAGCGUUGUCCGGAUUUACUGGGCGUAAAGAGCGCGCAGGCGGUCGUUCAAGUCGAGUGUGAAAGCCCCCGGCUCAACUGGGGAGGGUCACUCGAUACUGAUCGACUCGAAGGCAGGAGAGGGUAGUGGAAUUCCCGGUGUAGUGGUGAAAUGCGUAGAGAUGUGGAGGAACACCUGUGGCGAAGGCGCCUUGCUGGCCGAUUUCUGACGCUGAGGCGCGAAAGCGUGGGGAGCAAACAGG